UACGUAGGGGGCGAGCGUUGUCCGGAAUCAUUGGGCGUAAAGCGCGUGUAGGCGGCUCGUUAAGUCCGGUGUGAAACCUUGGGGCUCAACCCCAAGCCUGCACUGGAUACUGACGAGCUCGAGUCCGGGAGGGGAGAGCGGAAUUCCUAGUGUAGCGGUGAAAUGCGCAGAUAUUAGGAGGAACACCGGUGGCGAAGGCGGGUCUCUGGGCCGAUACUGACGCUGAGGAGCGAAAGCGUGGGGAGCGAACAGG
rnacentral:rRNA from 1 species